GGCGUGCCUUUUGUAGAAUGAACCGGCGAGUUAUCUUUACAUGCGAGGUUAAGCAGACAAUGCGGAGCCGUAGCGAAAGCGAAUCUUAAUAGGGUGGCAAGUAUGUAGAGAUAGACCCGAAGCCGUAGUGAUCUAGUCAUGAGCAGGUUGAAGGCUGGGUGAAUCCAGCUGGAGGACCGAACCGACCCCCGUUGAAAAGUUGGCGGAUGACUUGUGAUUAGCGGAGAAAUUCCAAUCGAACACGGCGAUAGCUGGUUCUCCCCGAAAUAGCUUUAGGGCUAGCGUUGAACGAAUCUACCCGGAGGUAGAGCACUGAAAUCAUGCGGGCGGCAUCUCGCCGUACCAAAUGAUAUCAAACUCCGAAUGCCGGGCAAGAAUAUUCAGCAGUCAGACUGUGGGUGAUAAGGUCCAUGGUCAAAAGGGAAACAGCCCAGAUCAUCAGAUAAGGUCCCAAAAUUUACGCUAAGUGGAAAAGGAUGUGGAGACGCGCAAACAGCUAGGAGGUUGGCUCAGAAGCAGCCAUCCUUCAAAGAGUGCGUAACAGCUCACUAGUCGAGUAUCUCUGCGCCGAAAAUUAACCGGGGCUAAGCGUAAUACCGAAUCUAUGGAUUUAUACUUAGGUAUAAGUGGUAGGGGAGCGUUCCAUACAGCAUUGAAGGUAUACCGUAAGGAGUGCUGGAGCGUAUGGAAGUGAGAAUGCCGGUGUGAGUAGCGAGAUGUGGGUGAGAAUCCCACACACCGAAAAACCAAGGUUUCCAGGGGAAGGUUCGUCCGCCCUGGGUAAGUCGGGACCUAAGGCCAGGCCGAAAGGCGUAGUCGAUGGACAGCAGGUUGAUAUUCCUGCACCCGCGAGUAAAGUGAUGGAGUGACAGAUAGGGUUAACCCAAGUCCUGAAUGGAUUGGGCAAGGCAAGCAGGAGAGUGGCGUAGGCAAAUCCGCGCCGGAUACUCAAAGGCUUGACUCAAGCGAACGCGCGAGCAAGUAGUGAAGAGGGUGAUACCAGGUCUCAAGAAAAGCUUCUAGCGAUAAUUUACUAGCGGCCCGUACCAAAACCGACACAGGUGGUUGAGGCGAGUAGCCUAAGGUGAGCGAGAGAACUGUUGCCAAGGAACUCGGCAAAUUGACCCCGUACGUUAGCAAUAAGGGGUGCUCGAAAGAGCCGCAGUGAAUAGGCCCUAGCAACUGUUUAACUAAAACAUAGCUCUCUGCGAAGUCGCAAGACGAAGUAUAGGGGGUGACACCUGCCCGGUGCUGGAAGGUCAAGGGGAUUUGUCAGACGCAAGUCGAAGCAUUGAACCGAAGCCCCAGUGAACGGCGGCCGUAACUAUAACGGUCCUAAGGUAGCGAAAUUCCUUGUCAGGUAAGUU
rnacentral:rRNA from 1 species